rnacentral:rRNA from 1 species
UACGAGGGGGGCUAGAGUUGUUCGGAAUCACUGGGCGUAAAGCGCACGUAGGCGGCGCGUUAAGUCAGGGGUGAAAUCGUGGAGCCCAACUCCAGAACUGCCGUUGAUACUGGCGUGCUCGGGUGUGGGAGAGGUUGGUGGAACUCCGAGUGUAGAGGUGAAAUUCGUAGAUAUUCGGAAGAACACCAGUGGCGAAGGCGGCCCACUGGCCCAUUAAUGACGCUGAGGUGCGAAAGCGUGGGGAGCAAACAGG